rnacentral:rRNA from 1 species
CCUACGGGAGGCAGCAGUGAGGAAUAUUGGUCAAUGGACGAGAGUCUGAACCAGCCAAGUAGCGUGAAGGAUGACUGCCCUAUGGGUUGUAAACUUCUUUUAUAUGGGAAUAAAAUGUUCCACGUGUGGGAUUUUGUAUGUACCAUAUGAAUAAGGAUCGGCUAACUCCGUGCCAGCAGCCGCGGUAAUACGGAGGGUCCGAGCGUUAUCCGGAUUUAUUGGGUUUAAAGGGAUCGUAGGUGGAUUGUUAAGUCAGUUGUGAAAGUUUGCGGCUCAACCGUAAAAUUGCAGUUGAAACUGGCAGUCUUGAGUACAGUAGAGGUGGGCGGAAUUCGUGGUGUAGCGGUGAAAUGCUUAGAUAUCACGAAGAACUCCGAUUGCGAAGGCAGUUCACUGGACUGCAACUGACACUGAGGCUCGAAAGUGUGGGUAUCAAACAGGAUUAGAUACCCUUGUAGUC